GACGUAGGUGGCGAACGUUAUCCGGAAUCAUUGGGCGUAAAGAGCGUGUAGGCGGCCAGAUAGGUCCGUUGUGAAAACUCGAGGCUCAACCUCGAGACGCCGAUGGAAACCAUUUGGCUAGAGUCCGGAAGAGGAGAGUGGAAUUCCCGGUGUAGCGGUGAAAUGCGCAGAUAUCGGGAGGAACACCUGUGGCAAAAGCGGCGCACUGGACCACAACUGACGCUGAGGCGCGAAAGCUAGGGGAGCAAACAGG
rnacentral:rRNA from 1 species